rnacentral:rRNA from 1 species
UACACAUGCAAGUCGAGCGGGGAAGGGUAGCUUGCUACCUGACCUAGCGGCGGACGGGUGAGUAAUGCUUAGGAAUCUGCCUAUUAGUGGGGGACAACAUUCCGAAAGGAAUGCUAAUACCGCAUACGCCCUACGGGGGAAAGCAGGGGAUCUUCGGACCUUGCGCUAAUAGAUGAGCCUAAGUCAGAUUAGCUAGUUGGUGGGGUAAAGGCCUACCAAGGCGACGAUCUGUAGCGGGUCUGAGAGGAUGAUCCGCCACACUGGGACUGAGACACGGCCCAGACUCCUACGGGAGGCAGCAGUGGGGAAUAUUGGACAAUGGGCGAAAGCCUGAUCCAGCCAUGCCGCGUGUGUGAAGAAGGCCUUUUGGUUGUAAAGCACUUUAAGCGAGGAGGAGGCUACCGAGAUUAAUACUCUUGGAUAGUGGACGUUACUCGCAGAAUAAGCACCGGCUAACUCUGUGCCAGCAGCCGCGGUAAUACAGAGGGUGCGAGCGUUAAUCGGAUUUACUGGGCGUAAAGCGUGCGUAGGCGGCUUUUUAAGUCGGAUGUGAAAUCCCUGAGCUUAACUUAGGAAUUGCAUUCGAUACUGGGAAGCUAGAGUAUGGGAGAGGAUGGUAGAAUUCCAGGUGUAGCGGUGAAAUGCGUAGAGAUCUGGAGGAAUACCGAUGGCGAAGGCAGCCAUCUGGCCUAAUACUGACGCUGAGGUACGAAAGCAUGGGGAGCAAACAGGAUUAGAUACCCUGGUAGUCCAUGCCGUAAACGAUGUCUACUAGCC